UUCUGGGAGGUUUGACAGAUUGAGAGCUCUUUCUUGAUUCGGUGGAUGGUGGUGCAUGGCCGUUCUUAGUUGGUGGAGCGGUAUGUCUGGUUAAUUCCGAUAACGAACGAGACUCUAGCCUAUUAAAUAGGUGCGUGGUUCUCUGCACCUUGCGUCCUUCUUAGAGGGACAAGCGGCUCCUAGCCGCACGAAACAGAGCAAUAACAGAUCUGUGAGGCCCUUAGAU
rnacentral:rRNA from 1 species